rnacentral:rRNA from 1 species
AGAGUUUGAUCCUGGCUCAGGAUGAACGCUGGCGGCGUGCCUAAUACAUGCAAGUCGAGCGAACAGAUAAGGAGCUUGCUCCUUUGACGUUAGCGGCGGACGGGUGAGUAACACGUGGGUAACCUACCUAUAAGACUGGAAUAACUCCGGGAAACCGGGGCUAAUGCCGGAUAAUAUUUAGAACCGCAUGGUUCUAAAGUGAAAGAUGGUUUUACUAUCACUUAUAGAUGGACCCGCGCCGUAUUAGCUAGUUGGUGGGGUAAUGGCUUACCAAGGCAACGAUACGUAGCCGACCUGAGAGGGUGAUCGGCCACACUGGAACUGAGACACGGUCCAGACUCCUACGGGAGGCAGCAGUAGGGAAUCUUCCGCAAUGGGCGAAAGCCUGACGGAGCAACGCCGCGUGAGCGAUGAAGGUCUUCGGAUCGUAAAACUCUGUUAUUAGGGAAGAACAAAUGUGUAAGUAACUGUGCACGUCUUGACGGUACCUAAUCAGAAAGCCACGGCUAACUACGUG